GCCUGUGUGCUGAAAUUGGUAGACAGAGAAAACUUAAGCCUUUCUGAGUUAAACUCGUGAGUGUUCGAAUCACUCCCCAGGUA
rnacentral:tRNA from 1 species